rfam:Populus trichocarpa isolate Nisqually-1 chromosome 10, whole genome shotgun sequence.
UAAUCUGUUGAGAAAAAUCUGUAUUUAUUUAUAAUAAAUUUAUAUGUAACUAUUCAGAAUCACUUGUUUCUGCGACCCGAGUAGACAGCAUGGCAGAUGCUAUAUUGCAUUUCUAACUUUGUUC